GCAUUGUAUGAAAGGAGAGAAGGCUAGCACUCUCCUUGACAAGGAUGGAAGGGACUCUCGGGCCUGACAGCAUGCAUAUGGCUGAGGCAUUGCCACUUACCUCGUGGCAUCGAACCACUGUUUUUA
ensembl:snRNA